rnacentral:misc_RNA from 1 species
CGUCAUUUAGAGGAACUAAAAGUCGUAACAAGGUAACCGUAGGUGAACCUGCGGUUGGAUCAUUACUGAUUACCAGCUCUAUGGGUUGAUUCGAAAGAGUCCUCGUAGAGUUGAUCAACCCUUUGUGCACUGUUCUGUUUUUUGGGUCUCGUCUAGCCUAUGCUUGAGGCCCAGCAUUUAUACAAACCAUACCAAUUUUGACUUAAUCCUAUGAAAAUAGAAACAACUUUUGACAACGGAUCUCUUGGCUCUC